AAAAGGUCCACUGGUUGGCAGAAAAGACAAGAACCACUUGAGUAGCAACGGGAGACAACACCUGAUAGCUCCACCCUUACCAUGCCUGUUGUGUAUAGCAUAGUAAGUGUCGGCUAACAAGGUAGGAACCGGGUUUCCUCUGAUGAAAAUAGUGAUUGCUGCAGGGUCCACAAAAUUAGGCAUACUAGGGAACAAGACAACUCCAUAAAUCAUGACAGCCAACUGAGCGUUGAAAGC
rnacentral:lncRNA from 1 species